UACGUAGGGGGCAAGCGUUGUCCGGAUUUAUUGGGCGUAAGGAGCGUGUAGGCGGUUCGGUAGGUCCGUUGUGAAAACUCGAGGCUCAACCUCGAGACGCCGAUGGAAACCCCCGAACUAGAGUCCGGAAGAGGAGAGUGGAAUUCCUGGUGUAGCGGUGAAAUGCGCAGAUAUCAGGAAGAACACCCGUGGCUAAGGCGGCUCUCUAGUACGGUACUGACGCUGAGACGCGAAAGCGUGGGGAGCGAACAGG
rnacentral:rRNA from 1 species